rnacentral:rRNA from 1 species
UCAGAACGAACGCUGGCGGCGCGUUUAAGCAUGCAAGUCGAGCGGCAAGGGCCUUCGGGCCCCUAGAGCGGCGGACGGGUGAGUAACACGUGGACAAUCUGCCCCCCGGCCCGGGAUAGCCCAGGGAAACCUGGAUUAAUACCGGAUGAGACGGGACCUGCGAUGGCGGGAUCCGGGAAAGGCGCUACGGCGCCGCCGGGGGAUGAGUCUGCGUCCCAUUAGCUAGACGGCGGGGUAACGGCCCACCGUGGCGACGAUGGGUAGCCGGCCUGAGAGGGUGGACGGCCACAUUGGAACUGAGACACGGUCCAGACUCCUACGGGAGGCAGCAGCUAAGAAUCUUCCGCAAUGGGCGAAAGCCUGACGGAGCGACGCCGCCGUGAACGAAGAAGGCCGUGAGGUUGUAAAGCUCUUUUCGGGAGGGGGAACAACCGUGGCAGGGAAUGGCCGCGGGAUGACGUGAAUCCCGGAAUAAGCCCCGGCUAACUACGUGCCAGCCGCAGC